GUCUUUCUAGUAUUAAUGACAAGUAUAAGUGACUUCCAAUCACCUGGUCUUGGUUAAAGUCCAAGGAAAGACA
rnacentral:tRNA from 1 species